GUGGAUUAGAUACCCUGGUAGUCCACGCUGUAAACGAUGAGCACUAGGUGUAGCGGGUACUCAUUCCUGCUGUGCCGCAGCUAACGCGUUAAGUGCUCCGCCUGGGGAUUACGGUCGCAAGACUAAAACUCAAAGGAAUUGACGGGGGCCCGCACAAGCGGUGGAGUAUGUGGUUUAAUUCGACGCAACGCGAAGAACCUUACCUGGGCUUGACAUCCCCGGCCAGCCGUGGAAACACGGACUUCCCCUUCGGGGGACCGGGAGACAGGUGCUGCACGGCCGUCGCCAUCU
rnacentral:rRNA from 1 species